rnacentral:rRNA from 1 species
UACGUAGGGGGCAAGCGUUGUCCGGAUUUAUUGGGCGUAAAGAGCGUGUAGGCGCCAGGGAGGUCCGUUGUGAAAACUCGAGGCUCAACCUCGAGACGCCGAUGGAAACCCCCUGGCUAGAGUCCGGAAGAGGAGAAUGGAAUUCCUGGUGUAGCGGUGAAAUGCGCAGAUAUCAGGAAGAACACCCGUGGCUAAGGCGGUUCUCUAGUACGGUACUGACGCUGAGACGCGAAAGCGUGGGGAGCGAAACAGG